CACGUGAGGGGCGAGCGUUGUCCGGAUUUAUUGGGCGUAAAGAGCUCGUAGGCGGUUUCGUAAGUCGGAUGUGAAAACUCCAGCUCAACUUGGAGACGCCAUUCGAUACUGCGAUGACUUGAGUCCGGUAGGGGAGUGUGGAAUUCCUGGUGUAGCGGUGAAAUGCGCAGAUAUCAGGAGGAACACCGGCGGCGAAGGCGGCACUCUGGGCCGGUACUGACGCUGAGGAGCGAAAGCGUGGGUAGCAAACAGG
rnacentral:rRNA from 1 species